rnacentral:rRNA from 1 species
GACGAACGCUGGCGGCGUGCUUAACACAUGCAAGUCGAACGGAAAGGCCCUGCUUUUGUGGGGUGCUCGAGUGGCGAACGGGUGAGUAACACGUGAGUAACCUGCCCCUGACUUAGGGAUAACAUCAGGAAACUGGGGCUAAUACCGGAGAUGAGCUCCUGCUGCAUGGUGGGGGAUGGAAAGUUUCGGCGGUUGGGGAUGUACUCGCGGCAUAUCAGCUUGUUGGUGGGGUAGUGGCUUACCAAGGCUUUGACGGGUAGCCGGCCUGAGAGGGUGACCGGCCACAUUGGGACUGAGAGACGGCCCAGGCUCCUACGGGAGGCAGAAGUGGGGAAUAUUGCACAAUGGGCGGAAGCCUGAUGCAGCAACGCCGCGUGCGGGAUGACGGCCUUCGGGUUGUAAACCGCUUUCGCCUGUGACGAAGCGUGAGUGACGGUACCUGGUAAAGAAGCACCGGCUAACUACGUG